rnacentral:rRNA from 1 species
UACGGAGGGUGCAAGCGUUGUCCGGAAUCACUGGGCGUAAAGGGCGCGUAGGCGGCCUGGUAAGUAGGGGGUGAAAUCCUGCGGCUUAACCGCAGGGCUGCCUUCUAAACUGUCAGGCUUGAGCACGGUAGAGGCAGAUGGAAUUCCCGGUGUAGCGGUGGAAUGCGUAGAGAUCGGGAAGAACAUCAGUGGUGAAGGCGGUCUGCUGGGCCGUUGCUGACGCUGAGGCGCGACAGCGUGGGGAGCAAACAGG